rnacentral:pre_miRNA from 1 species
UGUAUACUCCUUCCGUUUAAAUUUUUUUGUCUUAGGUUUAUCUAGAUAUGAAUGUAUCUAGUCACGUUUUGAUAUUUAGAUACAUUCAUUUAUAGACAAAUCUGAGACAAUAAUUUUGAAACGGAGGGAGUACUAU